rnacentral:rRNA from 1 species
ACUCCUACGGGAGGCAGCAGUGGGAAUAUUGGACAAUGGGGGCAACCCGUGCAUCCAGCCAUGCCGCGUGUAUGAAGAAGGACCCUCGGGUUGUAAAGUACUUUCAGUGGUGAGGAAGGUUGCGUGGUUAAUACCCACGUAAUUUGACGUUAGCCACAGAAGAAGCACCGGCUAACUCCGUGCCAGCAGCCGCGGUAAUACGGAGGGAGCGAGCGUUAAUCGGAAUUACUGGGCGUAAAGCGCACGUAGGCGGCUUUGUAAGUCGGAUGUGAAAGCCCGGC